UAAGAUUUAGGUUAACUAAACCAACUACCUUCAAAGUAGUUAACAAGUGUUAAAAUCACUUAAUCUUAA
rnacentral:tRNA from 1 species